GGGUUGUGAGGUUAAGCGACUAAGCGUACACGGUGGAUGCCCUGGCAGUCAGAGGCGAUGAAGGACGUGCUAAUCUGCGAUAAGCGUCGGUAAGGUGAUAUGAACCGUUAUAACCGGCGAUUUCCGAAUGGGGAAACCCAGUGUGAUUCGUCACACUAUCAUUAACUGAAUCCAUAGGUUAAUGAGGCGAACCGGGGGAACUGAAACAUCUAAGUACCCCGAGGAAAAGAAAUCAACCGAGAUUCCCCCAGUAGCGGCGAGCGAACGGGGAGGAGCCCAGAGCCUGAAUCAGUGUGUGUGUUAGUGGAAGCGUCUGGAAAGGCGCGCGAUACAGGGUGACAGCCCCGUACACAAAAAUGCACAUGCUGUGAGCUCGAUGAGUAGGGCGGGACACGUGGUAUCCUGUCUGAAUAUGGGGGGACCAUCCUCCAAGGCUAAAUACUCCUGACUGACCGAUAGUGAACCAGUACCGUGAGGGAAAGGCGAAAAGAACCCCGGCGAGGGGAGUGAAAAAGAACCUGAAACCGUGUACGUACAAGCAGUGGGAGCACGCUUCGGCGUGUGACUGCGUACCUUUUGUAUAAUGGGUCAGCGACUUAUAUUCUGUAGCAAGGUUAACCGAAUAGGGGAGCCGAAGGGAAACCGAGUCUUAACUGGGCGUUAAGUUGCAGGGUAUAGACCCGAAACCCGGUGAUCUAGCCAUGGGCAGGUUGAAGGUUGGGUAACACUAACUGGAGGACCGAACCGACUAAUGUUGAAAAAUUAGCGGAUGACUUGUGGCUGGGGGUGAAAGGCCAAUCAAACCGGGAGAUAGCUGGUUCUCCCCGAAAGCUAUUUAGGUAGCGCCUCGUGAA
rnacentral:rRNA from 1 species